rnacentral:rRNA from 1 species
AUGAACGUUAGCUACAGGCUUAACACAUGCAAGUCCAUGGGCAUCAAGAAGAAAGCUUGCUUUCUUUGCUGGCGACCGGCGCACGGGUGAGUAACACGUAUCCAACCUGCCCUUUACUCGGGGAUAGCCUUUCGAAAGAAAGAUUAAUACCCGAUAGCAUAAUGAUUCCGCAUGGUUUCAUUAUUAAAGGAUUCCGGUAAAGGAUGGGGAUGCGUUCCAUUAGGUUGUUGGUGAGGUAACGGCCCACCAAGCCUUCGAUGGAUAGGGGUUCUGAGAGGAAGGUCCCCCACAUUGGAACUGAGACACGGUCCAAACUCCUACGGGAGGCAGCAGUGAGGAAUAUUGGUCAAUGGGCGCUAGCCUGAACCAGCCAAGUAGCGUGAAGGAUGAAGGCUCUAUGGGUCGUAAACUUCUUUUAUAUAAGAAUAAAGUGCAGUAUGUAUACUGUUUUGUAUGUAUUAUAUGAAUAAGGAUCGGCUAACUCCGUGCCAGCAGCCGCGGUAAUACGGAGGAUCCGAGCGUUAUCCGGAUUUAUUGGGUUUAAAGGGAGCGUAGGUGGACUGGUAAGUCAGUUGUGAAAGUUUGCGGCUCAACCGUAAAAUUGCAGUUGAUACUGUCAGUCUUGAGUACAGUAGAGGUGGGCGGAAUUCGUGGUGUAGCGGUGAAAUGCUUAGAUAUCACGAAGAACUCCGAUUGCGAAGGCAGCUCACUGGACUGCAACUGACACUGAUGCUCGAAAGUGUGGGUAUCAAACAGGAUUAGAUACCCUGGUAGUCCACACAGUAAACGAUGAAUACUCGCUGUUUGCGAUAUACAGUAAGCGGCCAAGCGAAAGCAUUAAGUAUUCCACCUGGGGAGUACGCCGGCAACGGUGAAACUCAAAGGAAUUGACGGGGGCCCGCACAAGCGGAGGAACAUGUGGUUUAAUUCGAUGAUACGCGAGGAACCUUACCCGGGCUUAAAUUGCAGUGGAAUGAUGUGGAAACAUGUCAGUGAGCAAUCACCGCUGUGAAGGUGCUGCAUGGUUGUCGUCAGCUCGUGCCGUGAGGUGUCGGCUUAAGUGCCAUAACGAGCGCAACCCUUAUCUUUAGUUACUAACAGGUUAUGCUGAGGACUCUGGAGAGACUGCCGUCGUAAGAUGUGAGGAAGGUGGGGAUGACGUCAAAUCAGCACGGCCCUUACGUCCGGGGCUACACACGUGUUACAAUGGGGGGUACAGAAGGCAGCUAGCGGGUGACCGUAUGCUAAUCCCAAAAGCCUCUCUCAGUUCGGAUCGAAGUCUGCAACCCGACUUCGUGAAGCUGGAUUCGCUAGUAAUCGCGCAUCAGCCACGGCGCGGUGAAUACGUUCCCGGGCCUUGUACACACCGCCCGUCAAGCCAUGGGAGCCGGGGGUACCUGAAGUACGUAACCGCAAGGAUCGUCCUAGGGU